UAAAGCAAAUACUCUCCUCUAUCCAACCAUAGCCCUCUUAACCCUGAAAUCGUGGGAUGCUAAACUAAAGACAGCCCGUCAGAAUUAUUAGAAUUGAACAUUGAUUUAAAUAUUGAAUUCAAGGGUUGCAUAUUUACAUAUAAUAAAUGAGAACACCCAUAUUUUCCAAAAAUACACGGCAAAUACAGAAUACUUAUAUCCAGUAAAAAAAAGAGAGGAAGGAGCAACAAGUCAUUGGGUCAUCUAUCAAUGCACUUAUCUUUAUUGAAUCAUUAACUCACCUUUAACAAAUGUAUAAUUUAAUUUUCCCUCGAUUUACUGAAGUAACACUGAAGAACACAGUGAAUUUAUUUCUAAUGUGCCAAUUAAGUAUUGUUAACUUACUGUUUACCUUGAAAAUAAUCAUUGGGGACUGCUACACGUUCAAUAAAUAUCUCGACCUGAAAUAGCAGUAAAAUAUACUGAACGUGUAGCAAGCAAUAUUGAUGGAUUGCGUUUCAUAACACAAAAUAUUUAAUACAUUUUGUAUGUAAAUUCGCGUGCUGCCAGAACAAAGUACUGAAACCAUAUUAUAAAUAAGUAAGAUUUCUAAAAAAAAUUAUUAUUUAUUAAAAUUUAUAUCAAAUAAAGCUUUUUCGAAGAUCCGCUAAAGUCUUCACAAUGGUACC